rnacentral:rRNA from 1 species
GUAAUUUGACCGUGCAAAGGUAGCAUAAUCAAUAGUCUUUUAAUUGGAGGCUUGAAUGAAAGGUUUGACGGAAGAAAGACUGUCUCUUUAGUUUUUAUUGAAUUUAACAUUUGUGUGAAAAGGCRUUAAUAGUUUGGAGGGACGAUAAGACCCUAUAAAACUUUACAUAUUAUAUUAUUUAACUAAAUUGUUAUAUUAAUUGUUAGAUUAAUAAUUGUGUUUUGCUGGGGCGGCAAAAAUAUAACUGUAACUGUUUGAAAUAUAAAAUAUYUAUUAAUAAAAUAAUGGUCCUUUAUUAAGGAGUAAAGAUUAAGUUACUUUAGGGAUAACAGCAUAAUUUCUUUAGAGAGUUCUUAUCGAAGAAGUUAGUUGUGACCUCGAUGUUGAAUUAAAUUUUCCUUUA